GCUGGCGGCAGGCCUAACACAUGCAAGUCGAGCGGUAGCACAGAGAGCUUGCUCUCGGGUGACGAGCGGCGGACGGGUGAGUAAUGUCUGGGAAACUGCCUGAUGGAGGGGGAUAACUACUGGAAACGGUAGCUAAUACCGCAUAAUGUCGCAAGACCAAAGUGGGGGACCUUCGGGCCUCAUGCCAUCAGAUGUGCCCAGAUGGGAUUAGCUAGUAGGUGGGGUAACGGCUCACCUAGGCGACGAUCCCUAGCUGGUCUGAGAGGAUGACCAGCCACACUGGAACUGAGACACGGUCCAGACUCCUACGGGAGGCAGCAGUGGGGAAUAUUGCACAAUGGGCGCAAGCCUGAUGCAGCCAUGCCGCGUGUGUGAAGAAGGCCUUCGGGUUGUAAAGCACUUUCAGCGGGGAGGAAGGCGGUAAGGUUAAUAACCUCAUCGAUUGACGUUACCCGCAGAAGAAGCACCGGCUAACUCCGUGCCAGCAGCCGCGGUAAUACGGAGGGUGCAAGCGUUAAUCGGAAUUACUGGGCGUAAAGCGCACGCAGGCGGUCUGUCAAGUCGGAUGUGAAAUCCCCGGGCUCAACCUGGGAACUGCAUUCGAAACUGGCAGGCUAGAGUCUUGUAGAGGGGGGUAGAAUUCCAGGUGUAGCGGUGAAAUGCGUAGAGAUCUGGAGGAAUACCGGUGGCGAAGGCGGCCCCCUGGACAAAGACUGACGCUCAGGUGCGAAAGCGUGGGGAGCAAACAGGAUUAGAUACCCUGGUAGUCCACGCCGUAAACGAUGUCGAUUUGGAGGUUGUGCCCUUGAGGCGUGGCUUCCGGAGCUAACGCGUUAAAUCGACCGCCUGGGGAGUACGGCCGCAAGGUUAAAACUCAAAUGAAUUGACGGGGGCCCGCACAAGCGGUGGAGCAUGUGGUUUAAUUCGAUGCAACGCGAAGAACCUUACCUGGUCUUGACAUCCACAGAACUUUCCAGAGAUGGAUUGGUGCCUUCGGGAACUGUGAGACAGGUGCUGCAUGGCUGUCGUCAGCUCGUGUUGUGAAAUGUUGGGUUAAGUCCCGCAACGAGCGCAACCCUUAUCCUUUGUUGCCAGCGGUCCGGCCGGGAACUCAAAGGAGACUGCCAGUGAUAAACUGGAGGAAGGUGGGGAUGACGUCAAGUCAUCAUGGCCCUUACGACCAGGGCUACACACGUGCUACAAUGGCAUAUACAAAGAGAAGCGACCUCGCGAGAGCAAGCGGACCUCAUAAAGUAUGUCGUAGUCCGGAUUGGAGUCUGCAACUCGACUCCAUGAAGUCGGAAUCGCUAGUAAUCGUAGAUCAGAAUGCUACGGUGAAUACGUUCCCGGGCCUUGUACACACCGCCCGUCACACCAUGGGAGUGGGUUGCAAAAGAAGUAGGUAGCUUAACCUUCGGGAGGGCGCUUACCACUUUGUGAUUCAUGACUGGGGUGAAGUCGUAACAAGGUAACCGUAGGGGAACCUGCGGCUGGAUCAC
rnacentral:rRNA from 1 species